GAGUUUGAUCCUGGCUCAGAGCGAACGCUGGCGGCAGGCCUAAUACAUGCAAGUCGAACGGAUCCUUCGGGAUUAGUGGCGGACGGGUGAGUAACACGUGGGAACGUGCCCUUUGGUUCGGAACAACUCAGGGAAACUUGAGCUAAUACCGGAUGUGCCCUUCGGGGAAAGAUUUAUCGCCAUUGGAGCGGCCCGCGUCUGAUUAGCUAGUUGGUGAGGUAAUGGCUCACCAAGGCGACGAUCAGUAGCUGGUCUGAGAGGAUGAUCAGCCACACUGGGACUGAGACACGGCCCAGACUCCUACGGGAGGCAGCAGUAGGGAAUCUUGCGCAAUGGGCGAAAGCCUGACGCAGCCAUGCCGCGUGAAUGAUGAAGGUCUUAGGAUUGUAAAAUUCUUUCAGCGGGGACGAUAAUGACGGUACCCGCAGAAGAAGCCCCGGCUAACUUCGUGCCAGCAGCCGCGGUAAG
rnacentral:rRNA from 1 species